rnacentral:rRNA from 1 species
AGUGAACGCUGGCGGUAGGCCUAACACAUGCAAGUCGAACGGCAGCACAGUAAGAGCUUGCUCUUACGGGUGGCGAGUGGCGGACGGGUGAGGAAUACAUCGGAAUCUACUUUUUCGUGGGGGAUAACGUAGGGAAACUUACGCUAAUACCGCAUACGACCUACGGGUGAAAGCAGGGGAUCUUCGGACCUUGCGCGAUUGAAUGAGCCGAUGUCGGAUUAGCUAGUUGGCGGGGUAAAGGCCCACCAAGGCGACGAUCCGUAGCUGGUCUGAGAGGAUGAUCAGCCACACUGGAACUGAGACACGGUCCAGACUCCUACGGGAGGCAGCAGUGGGGAAUAUUGGACAAUGGGCGCAAGCCUGGUCCAGCCAUACCGCGUGGGUGACGAAGGCCUUCGGGUUGUAAAGCCCUUUUGUUGGGAAAGAAAAGCAGCAGGUUAAUACCCCGCUGUUCUGACGGUACCCAAAGAAUAAGCACCGGCUAACUUCGUG